rnacentral:rRNA from 1 species
UACGUAGGGUGCAAGCGUUGUCCGGAAUUAUUGGGCGUAAAGAGCUCGUAGGCGGCCUGUUGCGUCUGCUGUGAAAUCCCGGGGCUCAACCCCGGGCCUGCAGUGGAUACGGGCUGGCUAGAGGCAGGCAGGGGAGAACGGAAUUCCUGGUGUAGCGGUGAAAUGCGCAGAUAUCGGGAAGAACACCCGUGGCGAAGGCGGCUCUCUGGGACGGUACUGACGCUGAGACGCGAAAGCGUGGGGAGCGAACAGG